AUGUUAGCAUUGACAGGUCCACGUCGAGGAUUAGUUGCAUUUGAUAAUAUACAUUUUGAGUUCAACCUGAAGGUGAAGGGUGAUCCUGACGAUGAAGACUUUAGCAAAGGCGUAAUCGAGUCCCGCACCUUUGACACUGGACCCAUAACUAUGAUGCUACCUAGUUGGCUCAGUACAGUGGAAUUAGUAUUUGCACCUGUUAAACAUCCAGUGGCGGCUAACCUCCAAAUCAACAUUCUGAACGGUCCGCCCUAUGCCCCUUUCGUUGGCGAAGUAUCAGCUGGGACUAGAAAUGCCGAGACCCAUAUUAUUCUAUAUAAUGGUAGAGCAAUGAAUUGCAGCGGGAUAUUAGUCGGAGAUGAUGGCUCCAUAUUCUCUUGA
rnacentral:rRNA from 1 species